GAUGAACGCUGGCGGCGUGCCUAAUACAUGCAAGUCGAGCGAACAGAUGAGGAGCUUGCUCCUCUGACGUUAGCGGCGGACGGGUGAGUAACACGUGUAUAACCUACCUAUAAUACUGGGAUAACUUCGGGAAACCGGCUCUAAUACCGGAGAAUAUAUUGAACCGCAUGGUUCAAUAGUGAAAGACGGUUUUGCGGUCACUUAUAGAUGCAUCCCCGCCGCAGUAGCUAGUUGGUAAGGUAACGGCUUACCAAGGCAACGAUGCGUAGACGACCUGAGAGGGUGAUCGGCCACCCGGGAACUGAGACAGGGUCAAGACGCCUACGGGAGGCAGCAGUAGGGAAUCUUCCGCAAUGGGGGAAAGCCUGACGGAGCAACGGCGCGUGAGUGAUGAAGGUCUUCGGAUCGUAAAACUCUGUUAUUAGGGAAGAACAAAUGUGUAAGUAACUAUGCACGUCUUGACGGUACCUAAUAAGAAAGCAACGGCUAACUACGUG
rnacentral:rRNA from 1 species